rnacentral:rRNA from 1 species
GACGAACGCUGGCGGCGUGCUUAACACAUGCAAGUCGAACGGAAAGGCCCUGCUUUUGUGGGGUGCUCGAGUGGCGAACGGGUGAGUAACACGUGAGUAACCUGACCUUGACUUUGGGAUAACUUCAGGAAACUGGGGCUAAUACCGGAUAGGAGCUCCUGCUGCAUGGUGGGGGUUGGAAAGUUUCGGCGGUUGGGGAUGGACUCGCGGCUUAUCAGCUUGUUGGUGGGGUAGUGGCUUACCAAGGCUUUGACGGGUAGCCGGCCUGAGAGGGUGACCGGCCACAUUGAGACUGAGAUACGGCCCAGACUCCUACGGGAGGCAGCAGUGGGGAAUAUUGCACAAUGGGCGGAAGCCUGAUGCAGCAACGCCGCGUGCGGGAUGACGGCCUUCGGGUUGUAAACCGCUUUCGCCUGUGACGAAGCGUGAGUGACGGUAAUGGGUAAAGAAGCACCGGCUAACUACGUG